rnacentral:rRNA from 1 species
UCUCCUACGGGGGGCAGCAGUGGGGAAUAUUGCACAAUGGGGGAAACCCUGAUGCAGCGACGCCGCGUGAGUGAAGAAGUAUCUCGGUACGUAAAGCUCUAUCAGCAGGGAAGAAAAAAAGUCUUUGGCUUUGGACGGUACCUGACUAAGAAGCUCCGGCUAAAUACGUGCCAGCAGCCGCGGUAAUACGUAUGGAGCAAGCGUUAUCCGGAUUUACUGGGUGUAAAGGGAGCGCAGACGGCAAGGCAAGUCUGAUGUGAAAGUCCGAGGCUCAACCUCGGGACUGCAUUGGAAACUGUCUGGCU